GAUGAACGCUGGCGGCGUGCCUAAUACAUGCAAGUCGAGCGAACAGAUGAGGAGCUUGCUCCUCUGACGUUAGCGGCGGACGGGUGAGUAACACGUGGAUAACCUACCUAUAAGACUGGGAUAACUUCGGGAAACCGGAGCUAAUACCGGAUAAUACAUUGAACCGCAUGGUUCAAUAGUGAAAGACGGUUUUGCUGUCACUUAUAGAUGGAUCCGCGCCGCAUUAGCUAGUUGGUAAGGUAACGGCUUACCAAGGCAACGAUGCGUAGCCGACCUGAGAGGGUGAUCGGCCACACUGGAACUGAGACACGGUCCAGACUCCUACGGGAGGCAGCAGUAGGGAAUCUUCCGCAAUGAGCGAAAGCCUGACGGAGCAACGCCGCGUGAGUGAUGAAGGUCUUCGGAUCGUAAAACUCUGUUAUUAGGGAAGAACAAAUGUGUAAGUAACUAUGCACGUCUUGACGGUACCUAAUCAGAAAGCCACGGCUAACUACGUG
rnacentral:rRNA from 1 species